rnacentral:rRNA from 1 species
GAUGAACGCUGGCGGCGUGCUUAACACAUGCAAGUCGAACGAACCUUCGGGUUAGUGGCGGACGGGUGAGUAACGCGUGGGAAUCUGCCCUCAGGAGGGGGAUAACGGCCGGAAACGGCCGCUAAUACCCCAUAUGCCGAGAGGUGAAACGAAUUUCGCCUGAGGAUGAGCCCGCGUCUGAUUAGCUAGUUGGUGUGGUAAUGGCUCACCAAGGCAUCGAUCAGUAGCUGGUCUGAGAGGAUGAUCAGCC